GCCUGCAGCCGCUCGUGCACCCACGCCCGCACCCACGCGAGCGAAGAGGAUAGCGUUUCACUCCCGGUCGAUUCACACCCGCAGUCGCGCCGCUCUCCUCACCCCUCUCAUCUCUCCUGCGAACAGAUCUCGCCGCCCCGUCGCCUCGCGAGUACGUCGCCGGCGCGCAUCCUCACCGCGCAGAGAUAGACGACAAUGGCAAGACCCGAGAUACACUGAAGCUUGUGGCUCUAAAAUUGUUGUUGACGGGGGGUCUAGGUUUAUAAAUCAGUGAUGCAUUAAUAUAGAUGAAUGACAUCGGCAAGACCCGAGAUACGCUGAAGCUUCAAGGUUUACAAUGGAUUUUUGGCUAUCUAAUAUGUGAACUCUAGUAUGUGUUGGACUGUAAGAUGGACCAUAUGGAUUUGUGGCUCCAUAAUAUGUGAACUCUUAAGAUGUACUUGGACUGGAUACUUGAUUUAUCUGCACUCUCUA